rnacentral:tRNA from 1 species
GGGCCCGUCGUUUAGCUUGGAUUAGGACGCUGGCCUGCGGAGCCGGAGGUCGUGGGUUCAAGUCCCACCGGGCCCACCA